GAUUAUGGCUCAGAACGACGCUGGCGGCGCGUUUAAGCAUGCAAGUCGAGCGGCAAGGGCCUUCGGGCCCCUAGAGCGGCGGACGGGUGAGUAACACGUGGACAAUCUGCCCCCGGCCCGGGAUAGCCCAGGGAAACCUGGAUUAAUACCGGAUGAGACGGGACCCGCGAUGGCGGGACCCGGGAAAGGCGCUGCGGCGCCGCCGGGGGAUGAGUCUGCGUCCCAUUAGCUAGACGGCGGGGUAACGGCCCACCGUGGCGACGAUGGGUAGCCGGCCUGAGAGGGUGGACGGCCACAUUGGAACUGAGACACGGUCCAGACUCCUACGGGAGGCAGCAGCUAAGAAUCUUCCGCAAUGGGCGAAAGCCUGACGGAGCGACGCCCGCGUGAACGAAGAAGGCCGUGAGGUUGUAAAGUUCUUUUCGGGAGGGGGAACAACCGUGGCAGGGAAUGGCCGCGGGAUGACGUGAAUCCCGGAAUAAGCCCCGGCUAACUACGUGCCAGCCGCUGC
rnacentral:rRNA from 1 species